UUUUAUCUUCACUUGCACUGUUUUGUCUAGAUUUUUCGAGGCCUUGAUAGUGUUACUCCAAAGUUAACAAAAGAAGGAGAUGAUCUAUUGCCUAUAGAUUUUACUUAUCUUCCUGGGUCUAUAAAACAUGCAAGAUUUUUGAGCAAAAAGUCGCACACUUUCAUCGUUCAGGAUAUAUCUGUGAUUAAAGAAGCUCUCAGGUAUUUAAACAGCUGCCGGGAAGGUGUCGACUCGCCUUACAUCUUUCCUUAUAGAGAACCUGACGCUGAUGCGGA